rnacentral:misc_RNA from 1 species
GAAAUGCGAUAAGUAAUGUGAAUUGCAGAAUUCAGUGAAUCAUCGAAUCUUUGAACGCACAUUGCGCCCGCCAGAAUUCUGGCGGGCAUGCCUGUUCGAGCGUCAUUUCAACCCUCGAGCUCCCCUUGCGGGGGGAGCCCGGCGUUGGGGACGCGGCGCCAACAGCGCCGGCCCCGAAAUGGAGUGGCGGCCCGUCCGCGGCGGCCUCUGCGUAGUAACAUCCACUCGCACCGGGACCCGGGCGCGGCCACGCCGUAAAACACCCCACCUUCCGAAUGUUGACCUCGAAUCAGGUAGGAAUACCCGCUGAACUUAAGC